rnacentral:rRNA from 1 species
AUGUGGACCUGCCUUCGUCAGCACUAUGAGCCCUCUGGUGAUGCCUUAUAUCUUUCUGUGGUUCGUCAGGAGCAUGCUCUUCAGCAGGGUGACUCUACUGUUGAUGACUUUUAUGCACAUAGUUCUGCUAUUUGGCGCCAGCUUGAUUCUCUCCGCAGUGCUGGUUGUCGUACUUGCCCCUGCUGCCAGGCUGUCCAGGCUGAUUUGGAGUUUCAUCGCGUCUACGAGUUCCUGUCUCGGCUCCGUAAGGAGUUUGAGCCCCGGCGUGCUCAGUUGUUUGCUCGUGGCCGUAUUUCUCUCAUGGAGGCGCUUUCAGAGAUUCGUGCUGAGGAGACUCGCCUACGUGGUGCUGGUUUGCUGGAGGUUCCCUCUGUGCUCGCUACUCGGGUUUCUUCCACUCCACCUGCUGCACCGCCCCAUUCUCGCUCGAGUGCUCCGCCACUCUUGCCCACUCCUUCUGGAGGCUCAGGUCGGCCCCGUUCACAUUGUGACUACUUCAACAAUGAUGGUCAUAUUGAGUCCCAGUGCUACACAAAGCGGAAACACCUGCGCAAGGCGCGAUCAUCCUCCUCAGGGACUUCGUCAUCUCCCUCGCCAGCUUCAGCCAUUGCUUUGACUGAGUAG